rnacentral:rRNA from 1 species
AUUGAACGCUGGCGGCAUGCCCUACACAUGCAAGUCGAACGGUAACGGGCCUUCGGGUGCCGACGAGUGGCGAACGGGUGAGUAAUGCAUCGGAACGUACCUUUCAGUGGGGGAUAACGUAGCGAAAGUUACGCUAAUACCGCAUAUUCUGUGAGCAGGAAAGCAGGGGAUCGCAAGACCUUGCGCUGAUUGAGCGGCCGAUGUCAGAUUAGCUAGUUGGUGAGGUAAAGGCUCACCAAGGCGACGAUCUGUAGCGGGUCUGAGAGGAUGAUCCGCCACACUGGGACUGAGACACGGCACAGACUCCUACGGGAGGCAGCAGUGGGGAAUUUUGGACAAUGGGGGCAACCCUGAUCCAGCCAUGCCGCGUGAGUGAAGAAGGCCUUCGGGUUGUAAAGCUCUUUCGGCCGGGAAGAAAUCGCACAGGCUAAUACCUUGUGUGGAUGACGGUACCGGAAUAAGAAGCACCGGCUAACUACGUGCCAGCCGCCGCCGUAACAC